GAUGAACGCUGGCGGCGUGCCUAAUACAUGCCAGUCGAGCGAACGGACGAGAAGCUUGCUUCUCUGAUGUUAGCGGCGGACGGGUGAGUAACACGUGGAUAACCUACCUAUAAGACUGGGAUAACUUCGGGAAACCGGAGCUAUUACCGGAUGAUAUUUUGAACCGCAUGGUUCAAAAGUGAAAGACGGUCUUGCUGUCACUUAUAGAUGGAUCCGCGCUGCAUUAGCUAGUUGGUAAGGUAACGGCUUACCAAGGCAACGAUGCAUAGCCGACCUGAGAGGGUGAUCGGCCACACUGGAACUGAGACACGGUCCAGACUCCUACGGGAGGCAGCAGUAGGGAAUCUUCCGCAAUGGGCGAAAGCCUGACGGAGCAACGCCGCGUGAGUGAUGAAGGUCUUCGGAUCGUAAAACUCUGUUAUUAGGGAAGAACAUAUGUGUAAGUAACUGUGCACAUCUUGACGGUACCUAAUCAGAAAGCCACGGCUAACUACGUG
rnacentral:rRNA from 1 species